rnacentral:rRNA from 1 species
AAAGUCUUCCGGUUCCGGGGGAAGUAUGGUUGCAAAGCUGAAACUUAAAGGAAUUGACGGAAGGGCACCACCAGGAGUGGAGCCUGCGGCUUAAUUUGACUCAACACGGGGAAACUCACCCGGCCCGGACACCGUAAGGAUUGACAGAUUGAUAGCUCUUUCAUGAUUCGGUGGUUGGUGGUGCAUGGCCGUUCUUAGUUCGUGGAUCGAUUUGUCUGGUUUAUUCCGAUAACGAGCGAGACUCUAGCCUACUAAAUAGUGACGGAAUUGCUUCGCGCUGUUCCGCUUGCUUCUUAGAGGGAUUUUCGGUGUUUAGCCGCACGAGAUUGAGCAAUAACAGGUCUGUGAUGCCCUUAGAUGUCCGGGGCUGCACGCGCGCUACACUGGCGAAAUCAGCGUGCUGUAUCCAUUCUCGAAAGGGAUUGGUAAACCCAUGAAAAUUUGCCGUGCUUGGGAUCGGAAAUUGCAAUUAUUUUCCGUGAACGAGGAAUUCCAAGUAAGUGCGAGUCAUCA